CCUACGGGUGGCAGCAGUGGGGGAUAUUGCACAAUGGGGGGAACCCUGAUGCAGCGACGCCGCGUGGGUGAAGAAGCGCCUCGGCGCGUAAACCUCUUUCCUCUGUGAAGAUAAUGACGGUAGCAGAGGAGGAAGCUCCGGCUAACUACGUGCCAGCAGCCGCGGUAAGACGGAGGGAGCAAGCGUUGUCCGGAUUUACUGGGAGUAAAGGGUGCGUAGGCGGCUUUGCAAGUCAGAAGUGAAAUCCAUUGGCUUAACCCAUGAACUGCUUUUGAAACUGCAGGGCUUGAGUGGAGUAGAGGUAGGCGGAAGUCCCGGUGUAGCGGUGAAAUGCGUAGAGAUCGGGAGGAACACCAGUGGCGAAGGCGGCCUACUGGGCUCUAACUGACGCUGAGGCACGAAAGCGUGGGUAGCAAACAGGAUUAGAUACCCGGGUAGUC
rnacentral:rRNA from 1 species